AUGGCCGAGUCCGCUAUUGGCAUCGUUCUAGGGAACGUGAACAAUCUUGCUGUUCGGGAGACCAGUCUCUUAUGUGGCGUCACCCUUGAAGUGACCUUCCUGAAAGAUGAGCUGAUGCGGCUGCAGGGCUACCUCAAAGACGCUGAGAGAAAACGAAGAUCUGGAAAUGCAACAGUUGCUAUCUUGGUGAGCCAGAUCAGGGAUGCUGCAUAUGAGGCUGAGAAUGUCAUCGAAGCUGCAGAUUACAUGAAGAAGAGAAACAUGAUCAAGAAGGGCUUCAUGGGAGCAAUUGCAAGGUAUGCUCGCUUACCGAGUGACUUGAAUACCCUUCAUAAAGUUGGUGUUGAAAUUCAGCGUAUAAGAAGGAAGCUUGAUGAGAUAUUUCAGAGCAUAGAACGCCUGAAUAUUGAUUUGGAUAGUCAUGUUAUGGAUGAUUCUGUAGAAGAUUGUGGCCUUAUGCACCAGCACUUUAAGGAUGAUGUUACAAUGGUUGGUUUUGAGGACGAGUACAAAGAAAUAGUGGAUAAACUAGUGGAGGGAGAAAAUAUGCUUAGUGUUGUCUCCAUAGUUGCAAUGGGUGGGGCAGGAAAGACAACACUUGCUGCAAAAGUAUACACUGCAUCUCAAGUCAAACAACACUUUGAGCAACUUGUUUGGGUUAUUGUGUCUCAGAAGUUCAAGGUCAUUGAUUUACUAAAGGAGAUUUUGAAGCAAAUAUCAAGUGAUGAAGGUCAGUCUAGAAAAUUUGAUGACAUGAAUGAGUAUGAGGUGGGAAAGAAGAUCCACGAUAUCCUCAUCCAAAAAAAUACUUGGUAG
rnacentral:rRNA from 1 species